rnacentral:rRNA from 2 species
UAAUGUUUGAUGUUCUAACGUGGACCCGUUACCCGGGUUGCGGACAGUGUCUGGUGGGUAGUUUGACUGGGGCGGUCUCCUCCUAAAGAGUAACGGAGGAGCACGAAGGUUGGCUAAUCCUGGUCGGACAUCAGGAGGUUAGUGCAAUGGCAUAAGCCAGCUUGACUGCGAGCGUGACGGCGCGAGCAGGUGCGAAAGCAGGUCAUAGUGAUCCGGUGGUUCUGAAUGGAAGGGCCAUCGCUCAACGGAUAAAAGGUACUCCGGGGAUAACAGGCUGAUACCGCCCAAGAGUUCAUAUCGACGGCGGUGUUUGGCACCUCGAUGUCGGCUCAUCACAUCCUGGGGCUGAAGUAGGUCCCAAGGGUAUGGCUGUUCGCCAUUUAAAGUGGUACGCGAGCUGGGUUUAGAACGUCGUGAGACAGUUCGGUCCCUAUCUGCCGUGGGCGCUGGAGAACUGAGGGGGGCUGCUCCUAGUACGAGAGGACCGGAGUGGACGCAUCACUGGUGUUCGGGUUGUCAUGCCAAUGGCACUGCCCGGUAGCUAAAUGCGGAAGAGAUAAGUGCUGAAAGCAUCUAAGCACGAAACUUGCCCCGA